rnacentral:rRNA from 1 species
GAUGAACGCUGGCGGCGUGCCUAAUACAUGCAAGUCGAGCGAACGGACGAGAAGCUUGCUUUUCUGAUGUUAGCGGCGGACGGGUGAGUAACACGUGGAUAACCUACCUAUAAGACUGGGAUAACUUCGGGAAACCGGAGCUAAUACCGGAUAAUAUUUUGAACCGCAUGGUUCAAAAGUGAAAGACGGUCUUGCUGUCACUUAUAGAUGGAUCCGCGCUGCAUUAGCUAGUUGGUAAGGUAACGGCUUACCAAGGCAACGAUGCAUAGCCGACCUGAGAGGGUGAUCGGCCACACUGGAACUGAGACACGGUCCAGACUCCUACGGGAGGCAGCAGUAGGGAAUCUUCCGCAAUGGGCGAAAGCCUGACGGAGCAACGCCGCGUGAGUGAUGAAGGUCUUCGGAUCGUAAAACUCUGUUAUUAGGGAAGAACAUAUGUGUAAGUAACUGUGCACAUCUUGACGGUACCUAAUCAGAAAGCCACGGCUAACUACGUGCCAGCAGCCGCGGUAAUACGUAGGUGGCAAGCGUUAUCCGGAAUUAUUGGGCGUAAAGCGCGCGUAGGCGGUUUUUUAAGUCUGAUGUGAAAGCCCACGGCUCAACCGUGGAGGGUCAUUGGAAACUGGAAAACUUGAGUGCAGAAGAGGAAAGUGGAAUUCCAUGUGUAGCGGUGAAAUGCGCAGAGAUAUGGAGGAACACCAGUGGCGAAGGCGACUUUCUGGUCUGUAACUGACGCUGAUGUGCGAAAGCGUGGGGAUCAAACAGGAUUAGAUACCCUGGUAGUCCACGCCGUAAACGAUGAGUGCUAAGUGUUAGGGGGUUUCCGCCCCUUAGUGCUGCAGCUAACGCAUUAAGCACUCCGCCUGGGGAGUACGACCGCAAGGUUGAAACUCAAAGGAAUUGACGGGGACCCGCACAAGCGGUGGAGCAUGUGGUUUAAUUCGAAGCAACGCGAAGAACCUUACCAAAUCUUGACAUCCUUUGACAACUCUAGAGAUAGAGCCUUCCCCUUCGGGGGACAGAGUGACAGGUGGUGCAUGGUUGUCGUCAGCUCGUGUCGUGAGAUGUUGGGUUAAGUCCCGCAACGAGCGCAACCCUUAAGCUUAGUUGCCAUCAUUAAGUUGGGCACUCUAAGUUGACUGCCGGUGACAAACCGGAGGAAGGUGGGGAUGACGUCAAAUCAUCAUGCCCCUUAUGAUUUGGGCUACACACGUGCUACAAUGGACAAUACAAAGGGCAGCGAAACCGCGAGGUCAAGCAAAUCCCAUAAAGUUGUUCUCAGUUCGGAUUGUAGUCUGCAACUCGACUACAUGAAGCUGGAAUCGCUAGUAAUCGUAGAUCAGCAUGCUACGGUGAAUACGUUCCCGGGUCU